rnacentral:rRNA from 1 species
AGAGUUUGAUCCUGGCUCAGGACGAACGCUGGCGGCGUGCCUAAUACAUGCAAGUAGAACGCUGAAGUCUGGUGCUUGCACUAGACGGAUGAGUUGCGAACGGGUGAGUAACGCGUAGGUAACCUGCCUCAUAGCGGGGGAUAACUAUUGGAAACGAUAGCUAAUACCGCAUAACAGUAUUUACCGCAUGGUAGAUAUUUGAAAGGAGCAAUUGCUUCACUAUGAGAUGGACCUGCGUUGUAUUAGCUAGUUGGUGAGGUAACGGCUCACCAAGGCUUCGAUACAUAGCCGACCUGAGAGGGUGAUCGGCCACACUGGGACUGAGACACGGCCCAGACUCCUACGGGAGGCAGCAGUAGGGAAUCUUCGGCAAUGGGGGCAACCCUGACCGAGCAACGCCGCGUGAGUGAAGAAGGUUUUCGGAUCGUAAAGCUCUGUUGUAAGAGAAGAACUGUGAGAAGAGUGGAAAGUUUCUCACUUGACGGUAUCUUACCAGAAAGGGACGGCUAACCACGUGCCAGCAGCCGCGGUAAUACGUAGGUCCCGAGCGUUGUCCGGAUUUAUUGGGCGUAAAGCGAGCGCAGGCGGUUUGAUAAGUCUGAAGUAAAAGGCUGUGGCUUAACCAUAGUACGCUUUGGAAACUGUCAAACUUGAGUGCAGAAGGGGAGAGUGGAAUUCCAUGUGUAGCGGUGAAAUGCGUAGAUAUAUGGAGGAACACCGGUGGCGAAAGCGGCUCUCUGGUCUGUAACUGACGCUGAGGCUCGAAAGCGUGGGGAGCGAACAGGAUUAGAUACCCUGGUAGUCCACGCCGUAAACGAUGAGUGCUAGGUGUUGGGUCCUUUCCGGGACUCAGUGCCGCAGCUAACGCAUUAAGCACUCCGCCUGGGGAGUACGACCGCAAGGUUGAAACUCAAAGGAAUUGACGGGGGCCCGCACAAGCGGUGGAGCAUGUGGUUUAAUUCGAAGCAACGCGAAGAACCUUACCAGGUCUUGACAUCCCGAUGACCGCCCUAGAGAUAGGGUUUCUCUUCGGAGCAUCGGUGACAGGUGGUGCAUGGUUGUCGUCAGCUCGUGUCGUGAGAUGUUGGGUUAAGUCCCGCAACGAGCGCAACCCCUAUUGUUAGUUGCCAUCAUUCAGUUGGGCACUCUAGCGAGACUGCCGGUAAUAAACCGGAGGAAGGUGGGGAUGACGUCAAAUCAUCAUGCCCCUUAUGACCUGGGCUACACACGUGCUACAAUGGCUGGUACAACGAGUCGCAAGUCGGUGACGGCAAGCUAAUCUCUUAAAGCCAGUCUCAGUUCGGAUUGUAGGCUGCAACUCGCCUACAUGAAGUCGGAAUCGCUAGUAAUCGCGGAUCAGCACGCCGCGGUGAAUACGUUCCCGGGCCUUGUACACACCGCCCGUCACACCACGAGAGUUUGUAACACCCGAAGUCGGUGAGGUAACCUUUUAGGAGCCAGCCGCCUAAGGUGGGAUAGAUGAUUGGGGUGAAGUCGUAACAAGGUAGCCGUAUCGGAAGGUGCGGCUGGAUCACCU